rnacentral:rRNA from 1 species
GACGAACGCUGGCGGCGUGCUUAACACAUGCAAGUCGAGCGGUAAGGCCCUUUCGGGGGUAUACGAGCGGCGAACGGGUGAGUAACACAUGAGCAACCUGCCCUUCUCUUUGGAAUAAGCGUUGGAAACGACGUCUAAUGCCGAAUAUGACCCCCUGUCGCAUGGUGGGGGGUGGAAAGCUCUGGCGGAGAAGGAUGGGCUCGCGGCCUAUCAGCUUGUUGGUGGGGGUAAUGGCCCACCAAGGCGACGACGGGUGGCCGGCCUGAGAGGGUGACCGGCCACACUGGGACUGAGACACGGCCCAGACUCCUAGGGGGGGCAGCAGUGGGGAAUAUUGGACAAUGGGCGAAAGCCUGAUCCAGCAACGCCGCGUGAGGGAUGACGGCCUUCGGGUUGUAAACCUCUUUCAGCAGGGACGAAGCGAGAGUGACGGUACCUGCAGAAGAAGGACCGGCCAACUACGUGCCAGCCGCCGCCGUAA